GACGAAUUAAGGGCAGAUUUGGAACAUUGACAGCUGUUCCAAUACAUCACUUGGAUCGCUCUCUUGAUUUCCAUGCUUUAUGUGCUCUAUAUGCUGUCACAGAUGUAGCACUAGUCACAUCUUUAAGGGAUGGUAUGAAUCUUGUCAAUU